GCUUGACCGGGGUUGUGGGGUUUGGAGGGAGCCUACAGAGCUGAAACACCCUUCUUGUCACAUCAUGUUUAAGACCAACAGAUCCUUUGCCAGACGCAGAAAAUCCUGUAUUCACAAAAGGCCCCCAGAAAGCAUUUUCUGUGAGUAUGCUGGGGAGGCCUCUCAGGCCCAUGAAGAAUGCUAUCUGUAAGAGCCUUCUCUGUGGCCAUGAGCCACUUGGCAUGGCAGCUCUCCGUUCCGGGGUGUCCUCCACAGCUGGAGUCAGGAGCACAAGCUUGGCUCAAGAACAUAGACUCUGGGCAAGGUGCUGGUGAGAACAGCAGAGCCAGCUGGAGGCUCUGGGAGGAAUUCUAUCUGGAAGGAAGCAUGAUGUGUCCAGAGGGCAGCAGGGUCUGGUGGAGUCAAUGCUGGCGAAGGUGUAUGUAUAGUGGCAAGAUUCUAGACCAGGGUGCAAAUUCAGGCCAGCAGAUGGAGAGGCUGGAGCUUCCUGGGACUGAACCAGCAGGCAGGAGUCAGUCCAGGUGGGUGGCUUGGGCAGAGAGCAAGGGAAGCAGAAUGCAGAUCUACAUGGGGACCCAGAUUCCUGAGGUGGCUAAAGGUGGUGACUUGGCCCCACGAGCUGGAGCUGGCCAGAGCAGAGCUAUGGCAGAGCUGCCCACCUGGGGCCAGGUGGGCUGAGGACAGAGCAGCCUCCUCAGCAUGAAGAAGUCCCGUAAUAUGAGUGCUGGCAGGGGGAGGCUGCAGGGGGCUUGGCUGGCUGGGAUAAUGAGGACAGGUGAGUCUGAAAGAACAUCUGAUUGGUCUUUGCUGUGAUGGGGUUGUGAGCAUUCACACCAGGUGGCCACUCUUCUCUGGCAGUGUUCCUACUUGGUCUCUAAGUAAGGUCCAUCUAGUAAGGACUAGAUGUGUCGGCCCAGGCCAUACUGGUGAGAAGACAUCUGAUGCUGGCUUCAGCAUGUGACCUCUGGAAUAAGGCAGGUGUGGGCUCAAAUCCCAGCUUUGUCACUUGCCAAUGUCAUGGCCUUGGGGUUGUUAUUGAUCCCUCUGGGACAGGGCUAAUUAACAGCACUGUUAUAAGGAUGCAUGAGAUAAUGUUGGCAAAGAGCACCCAUGGUUAUAACAGAUGAAGCCCAGGAAGGUCAUUCUCCCUGAUUGCACUGGCUACCUACAAUCAACGCCAUGACCACAGCCAUCUGCUCAGCCAUUAGUUUAUUGGCCCCCACAUCCGUGUUUCUUAACUUCUAAAAUGUAUUGAGUCACAAACUCCUUUCAAAACCUGAUGAAAACUCUGCCUACUCCCUCCACGAAAAUCCAAGCAUACAGUUUGCAAGGGAUUUCAGAGGGUUCACAGAUACUCAAGUUGAGAAUCCCUGCUCUUGAGUUCAAGGCUGGUUUUAUAAGUGAAGUGUCAUUUUGCCAGUCACAGGCCAUAUGUGUGUGCAAUCCUACCUUAACAUUCUGAUUUGUGGAACUGACUUGGUACUUGAUACACACUGUACCCUAUGCAUUGAUUGAUAGGUUAAGUAAGACCAUGACUCUGGCAUAGCCCACGAAACGCCUCUACUCAUUUCUGGCAGCUAUCUGGACAGCUUCUGAGCCUGCAACAAACCCUGCUGCUUGGAAUUUAGGGGACCCCUUCUCCUUUUUGUCUUGCUGAAACCAUCU